rnacentral:rRNA from 1 species
CCUACGGGGGGCAGCAGUGAGGAAUAUUGGUCAAUGGGCGCGAGCCUGAACCAGCCAAGUAGCGUGAAGGAUGACUGCCCUACGGGUUGUAAACUUCUUUUAUAAAGGAAUAAAGUGAGGCACGUGUGCCUUUUUGCAUGUACUUUAUGAAUAAGGAUCGGCUAACUCCGUGCCAGCAGCCGCGGUAAUACGGAGGAUCCGAGCGUUAUCCGGAUUUAUUGGGUUUAAAGGGUGCGCAGGCGGAUGUUUAAGUCAGCGGUAAAAUCGUGGGGCUCAACCCCAUCCAGCCGUUGAAACUGGGGAUCUAGAGUGUGCUAGAGGUAUGCGGAAUGCGUGGUGUAGCGGUGAAAUGCAUAGAUAUCACGCAGAACCCCGAUUGCGAAGGCAGCAUACCGGUGCACAACUGACGCUCAGGCACGAAAGCGUGGGUAUCGAACAGGAUUAGAUACCCUAGUAGUC